GACGAACGCUGGCGGCGUGCUUAACACAUGCAAGUCGAACGGAAAGGCCCUGCUUUUGUGGGGUGCUCGAGUGGCGAACGGGUGAGUAACACGUGAGUAACCUGCCAUUGACUUUGGGAUAACUUCAGGAAACUGGGUCUAAUACCGGAUAGGAGCUCCUGCUGCAGGGUGGGGGUUGGAAAGUUUCGGCGGUUGGUGAUGGACUCGCGUCUCAUCAGCUUGUUGGUUGGGUAGUGGCUUACCAAGGCUUUGACGGGUAGCCGGCCUGGGCGGGUGACCGGCCAAGUCGGGACUGAACUACGACACGGCCUACUACGGGAGGCAGCAGUGGGGAAGAUUGCACAAUGGGCGGGAGCCUAGUGCAGCAACGCCGCGCGCGGGAUGACAGCCUUCGGGUUGUAAACCGCUUUCGCCUGUGACGAAGCGUGAGUGACGGUAAUGGGUAAAGAAGCACCGGCUAACUACGUG
rnacentral:rRNA from 1 species